GACGAACGCUGGCGGCGUGCCUAAUACAUGCAAGUCGAACGAAGCUUUUUUAACUGGUGCUUGCACCGACUUAAACAACUGAGUGGCGAGCGGGUGAGUAACACGUGGGUAACCUGCACCAAAGCGGGGGAUAACAUUUGGAAACAGAUGCUAAUACCGCAUAACAACAGAAACCAAAUGGUUUCUGUGCCAAAGAUGUUUUAGGCUUUCACUUGGGGAUGGACCCGCGGCGUAUUAGCUAGUUGGUAAGGUAAUGGCUUACCAAGGCAAUGAUACGUAGACGAACUGAGAGGUUGAUCGGCCACAUUGGGACUGAGACACGGCCCAAACUCCUACGGGAGGCAGCAGUAGGGAAUCUUCCACAAUGGACGAAAGUCUGAUGGAGCAACGCCGCGUGAGUGAAGAAGGUUUUCGGAUCGUAAACUCUGUUGUCAGAGAAGAACGUGUGCGAGAGUAACUGUUCGUGCAGUGACGGUAUCUGGCCAGAAAGCCACGGCUAACUACGUGCCAGCCGCCGCAGUAA
rnacentral:rRNA from 1 species